CGUUUCUGUUGAAAAAUAUUUCAUUAGACUCUUAUUUGUUUCAGGUUAUAAAAUCAUACAAGAGAGAGAUCUUGCGCUCAACAGAUUCACUACUCAAAACUGUGACUAAUAACUCGCAAAUUCUCUGACAUGAGAGAGUGAUCUUGCGCUCAACAGAUUCACUACUCAAAAAAUCAUUUUCUCACCUCACUACUCAUAAGCAAUUGUGCUCUCGUGAAGGAACCUUACCUGCAUCUAGAAAAUCAUAGCCGAGGACCUACCUGAACCGAGUCGAGGAGCAUAUCCGAUUAUUUCAUUUCGUCAAAUCAACACAUAAAAAAUGGCGAGAAUACAAAGUUAUCGUUGUGAACUAACUGAACUAUUGGAGACGCAUCACCAAUUAUUGGACCAGUUAGCAGAAAAAGGAUGGACAAAUCUACAAUAUUUAACAUUUGUGAGAGAUUAUGAAAAAUUAGGAGUUUGGCAUAGUGAUAACUAUAAUCAUAUUUCAGUUUGUGAAUUAUACGGUACAUCAUAUGAUAAAUUCUGGGAGAAUGGCAAUAUCCCAGGCUCAUACAGAUGUGAUUGUGGUCAUCUUAAAGAGUCUAUCGAUAAAAUUAAGAAGGUUAUAACAGAAAAAAAUAAACAUUUAACAAAAGAACAAUUAAAUAAACUUAUCUGGAAUUUUUUACGAGAUUCUUCAGAUGAGACAGGCUUAGAACAAGAUU
rnacentral:lncRNA from 1 species